rnacentral:rRNA from 1 species
CAGCCCUAAACGAUGCGCGUUAGGUGUAUCGGUGACCACGAGUCACCGAGGUGCCGAAGGGAAACCGUGAAACGUGCCGCCUGGGAAGUACGGUCGCAAGGCUGAAACUUAAAGGAAUUGGCGGGGGGAGCACCACAACGGGUGGAGCCUGCGGUUUAAUUGGACUCAACGCCGGGAAGCUCACCGGAUAAGACAGCGGAAUGAUUGCCGGGCUGAAAGACCCUGCAUGACCAGCUGAGAGGUGGUGCAUGGCGUCAGUGACU